rnacentral:rRNA from 1 species
UACAGAGGGUGCAAGCGUUGCUCGGAAUCAUUGGGCGUAAAGGGUAGGUAGGUGGUCUCGUUUGUCUGGGGUGAAAGCCCAGGGCUUAACCCUGGAAGUGCCCCAGAAACGGCGAGACUAGAGUCUUGGAGAGGGUCGUGGAAUUCCCGGUGUAGCGGUGAAAUGCGCAGAUAUCGGGAAGAACACCCGUGGCGAAGGCGGCUCUCUGGGACGGUACUGACGCUGAGACGCGAAAGCGUGGGGAGCGAACAGG